AACGAACGCUGGCGGCAGGCUUAACACAUGCAAGUCGAACGCCCCGCAAGGGGAGUGGCAGACGGGUGAGUAACGCGUGGGAACAUACCCUUUUCUACGGAAUAGCUCUGGGAAACUGGAAUUAAUACCGUAUACGCCCUACGGGGGAAAGAUUUAUCGGGGAAGGAUUGGCCCGCGUUGGAUUAGCUAGUUGGUGGGGUAAAGGCCUACCAAGGCGACGAUCCAUAGCUGGCCUGAGAGGAUGAUCAGCCACAUAGGGACUGAGACACGGCCCAAACUCCUACGGGAGGCAGCAGUGGGGAAUAUUGGACAAUGGGCGCAAGCCUGAUCCAGCCAUGCCGCGUGAGUGAUGAAGGCCUUAGGGUUGUAAAGCUCUUUCACCGAUGAAGAUAAUGACGGUAGUCGGAGAAGAAGCCCCGGCUAACUUCGUGCCAGCCGCCGCAGUAAGAC
rnacentral:rRNA from 1 species